UACGUAGGGUGCAGGCGUUAAUCGGAAUUACUGGGCGUAAAGGGCGCGUAGGCGGUGGAUCAAGUCAGGUGUGAAAUCCCCGGGCUCAACCCGGGAACUGCGUCCGAGACUGGCAGGCUCGAAUCCGGGAGAGGGAUGUGGAAUUCCAGGUGUAGCGGUGAAAUGCGUAGAUAUCUGGAGGAACAUCGGUGGCGAAGGCGGCAUCCUGGACCGGUAUUGACGCUGAGGCGCGAAAGCCAGGGGAGCAAACGGG
rnacentral:rRNA from 1 species